rnacentral:rRNA from 1 species
CAGUAGCCGCGGUAAUACAGAGGGUGCGAGCGUUAAUCGGAUUUACUGGGCGUAAAGCGUGCGUAGGCGGCUAAUUGAGUCGGAUGUGAAAUCCCCGAGCUUAACUUGGGAAUUGCAUUCGAUACUGGUUAGCUAGAGUAUGGGAGAGGAUGGUAGAAUUCCAGGUGUAGCGGUGAAAUGCGUAGAGAUCUGGAGGAAUACCGAUGGCGAAGGCAGCCAUCUGGCCUAAUACUGACGCUGAGGUACGAAAGCAUGGGGAGCAAACAGGAUUAGAUACCCCAGUAGUCCCUGUCUCUUAUAA